AAUAUCACGUGGAACCAGCCUUUUCUUUGAUACCUCUUGCGUUUCUUGCAGAUCCCCUGCCUGCAGCACGUGCUGAUCUCCAAGGGUGAGGCUGGAUGAAGCCAGGGGCUAUGGAAAGGGAGACUGUUUCAGAGGACUUGACACCAUCUUCAGUAAUUUCUCUGGUUCUUGGCAGCUCCAUUUGGCUGCGUCCCUACCCUGCAUAACCCUCCCAGCUAGUCUACUCCAGGGCAGCAUCCAGCUGGUGACCUGAGAGGGCAGUGGCGCACCAGUCUCCAUGAAGGUUGAGCUCCGAUGGCCAACAGCCAUUUCCACCUUGUGGUCUACAACUCUUCAUCCCGACUGCAUGGAGGUUGGUCUCUCUCUUCAGCUGGAUUUAGGCCACCAUCUGAGCCCCCGGGGUACGUUUUGUCUGACCCUGGCGCCAUUCGAACGGUUCUUCUACAGCAUCAGUUCUCUUUCCUGCCACCAUGUGAAGAAGGACAUGUUUGCUUCCCCUUCUGCCAUGAAUGGACAGGGUCCUGCUGUGUUGCCCAGGCUGGCCUUGAACUCCUGGCUUCAAACAGUCUUCCCACUUGGGCUCCCAAAGUGCUGGGAUUAAAGGGGCGAGUUACAGCACCAGGACCUGAAAUGUGACACCCCUGCUCCCCAUUCACCCUCCGCUAUCAGUAAAAGCUUCCUCAGACCUCACCAGAAGCUGGACAGAUAGAUGCUGGUGCCAAGCUUGUACAGACUGCAGAACCAUGGGCCAAAUAAACCUCUUUUCUUUAUAAAUUGC
rnacentral:lncRNA from 1 species